UUGCGUUUUUCCCUCUCUUCCAAUUCCCUUCCUCUUCCAACUUCAAACGUCAUCAAUCUUAACAAUCCACUGAUAUCAUGCCCUUAUAUACUGCAAAUUUGGCCUCUAAACUUCCACAUCGGUUCGGUUUUACUAGAACGAACGCCAGUUCCUUACCCAACUAUGCUGGGCUUAAACCUUUCUUCCUCUUCUUCCCUUCCACCCACGUCCAUAAUUCUUCCCAAAAUCGAAUCUGUUCGUCUGUUCCAUCAUCUUCCUCAAUAAUGGAA
rnacentral:misc_RNA from 1 species